UACGUAGGGUGCGAGCGUUAAUCGGAAUUACUGGGCGUAAAGCGUGCGCAGGCGGUUUUGUAAGUCAGGUGUGAAAUCCCCGGGCUCAACCUGGGAAUGGCAUUUGGGACUGCAAGGCUUGAGUGCGGCAGAGGAGACUGGAAUUCCUGGUGUAGCAGUGAAAUGCGUAGAUAUCAGGAGGAAUACCGAUGGCGAAGGCAGGUCUCUGGGCUGACACUGACGCUCAGGCACGAAAGCGUGGGGAGCAAACAGG
rnacentral:rRNA from 1 species